UUAAGUAUUUUAAGAAAUACUUUCUGCGACUAAUAAAGUCCGCUUUAAUUAUUCACUGGCUUUUAUUUCACGCACGGCUUAUAAGUUCUUUUCUUCCGUGGCUUAGGAAAUAAUUUCCAUUAUACUUGAAAAGAGGCUCUUCACUAAAAGUAUUAAACCGAGAACUAAUUUCUUAAGUCCAGCAAGGAGUUUACUUAAUCUGGGCCAAAGUAUUAUUUCAUUAAGCAUUUUCGGUCCAGCUUAUCUAAUUGGCCCAAUUCUUUUCUUCUUCUCAUUUAAUCUGGCCCAGCUUAAUUAAUUCCAGGCCCAAGUGAUGAAUAGUGGAAAAGGCCCAAAUACCCCCUUCACCAACCAUCGUCACUAUCUCUCUCUCAUUUCUCAAAAAUCCCCAAAUUGAAAAUGAGGAACCCUAGCCCCCUUUCUCUCCUUCCUCUCGGCGAUUUCGCACCCCGCCACCUUCAGCGCUCCUCGCCGGCGUGUGAGGAACCGGAGUCAGCCCAUUUCUAUUCCGUUCCUCUCCGCAUCGCACGACCGCUCCCACCCUCUGUCUCCUACUCGGCAAGAAGGGGUCUAAAAUUCGGAAACCUGGGGAGGUGGAGGACUCGUCGCUGUCUAACCGGCGACCCACUACCCACCAUCUCUUCCCCCUUUGAGGCAUAACCUUGUACGGGCAAUCUUGACGACGUUUUGUUCGCGGAGGGGUCACCCGUGGAGGGAAGACGUCGUAUUCUCCGUCCUUCAGCGGCAUCCCUCGGUCCACGCUGCCGUCGCCUCCAUCUUCCUCCCUUCGGCGACGCUGGACCCCUCGGCUUAGGGGUGACACGCAGACGGCGGUUCUGCCGCUGCGGAGACCCUCGUGGCAGUGCGCCGUUUAAUCAGGCAGUCGCCUCGCCGAAGCUAAGUUCCUACUAGUUAUCUUCUUUCUCUUGUCAUAGUCUAGUCCUAGUUCGCGUUUGAAAAGCAAUGUGGUUGUGCUUCUAUGUGACUGAUUCUGUGUGGAAGACACCAUUCCAUGGUUCCUUUCCUCCAGUCUCAAAAGUGCUACACUACCCUAGACAUGCAUCCUAAUGAGGCUGGGGUAUGUGCAAGGGAGGUUUACUGAUUUCUCAGAUUCUCAUGUUAUCAUAAAUCGUUUCCAUGUUUUGUUUCUAUCAUGCUCGAAUGAUGCCAUUAAACUUGAGAUUUAAGCUGAUGGGUGUUACCUUUCCCUUGUAACUCCGCUGAACUUGCUAAGCUACUCCCUUCCUUGGUCUUGACCUCUCUUGCUCCUCCGCUUGCUGCUCCGUUUAGUAACUAGUUUGUUGUGUGGUGGGGGAUGGAACUGAGGAGGAGAUUGGCAUAUUUAUGCACAGCUUGUAACUGAAAGCUGCACAAUGACUGAGGUGCACACUAGAGGUGGCACUGUGGGGGCUGAUUUCCGGACUAUAACCGGUUUGGGUAGGGAAAGCAAGGGCUGUUAUCUGCAGCUUUGCAGAGUAUUAGCUGGAGGGGAGCCUGCUGGCUGGAGUUUGCUUCUUUCGGUCCAACACUCACUCACAUUUCUGCAAGAUCACGGAGUUGCCGAGCUUGGUGCCGAACUGCCGAGCUCGGUGCCGAACUGCCGUG